rnacentral:rRNA from 1 species
AAGUCGAACGGGAGAAUUGCUAGCUUGCUAAUAAUUCUCUAGUGGCGCACGGGUGAGUAACACGUGAGUAACCUGCCUCUUAGUGGGGGAUAGCCCUGGGAAACCGGGAUUAAUACCGCAUACGAUUGAAAGAUCAAAGCAGCAAUGCGCUAGGAGAUGGGCUCGCGGCCUAUUAGUUAGUUGGUGAGGUAACGGCUCACCAAGGCGAUGACGGGUAGCCGGUCUGAGAGGAUGUCCGGCCACACUGGAACUGAGACACGGUCCAGACACC